rnacentral:tRNA from 3 species
GGAGAUGUGGCCGAGUGGUUUAAGGCGCACGCCUGGAAAGCGUGUUGGGGGCAACUCCUCGCAGGUUCGAAUCCUGUCAUCUCCGCCA